GACUUAUAACUUCUCCUGUGUUUGUCAAAGAAAGCUGAAAACUCAAACCUAGUAUAUCAUGAUAAGAAGUAGUAACCUGUUGUAAGAAUGAAGUGGAUCUCUCACUCCAUUCAUGGUCUCCAGAGGGUUCAGUCAGGUCACUUGGUGUCUGCAACAUAACAUUACGGUGUCAACAUAUUCAGCAUUCUUCAUUCUGACCAGUUAAGAAAUGAAUAAAUAUUAAUUAUCAUUGAACAUUGCUCACGGGAGAGUUUGGGAUGAAUAUACCACACUAUAGAAAGUUAACACUGUUCAGUUCUGUGGAACAGCAAUAUGGGGACAUUCGAACACAGGCUCUCCAGAGUUAGGUUAAGACAAAAGUCAUGUCACCUGAAACACACUCAGGUUUUUCAGGUCUAAAGAAAUAUGAGGACAUGACGACUGAAAUCAUGGAGAGUCCAUGUUUCUGAUUUAUAACUUCUCCUGUGUUUGUCAAAGAAAGCUGAAAACUCAAACCUAGUAUAUCAUGAUAAGAAGUAGUAACCUGUUGUAAGAAUGAAGUGGAUCUCUCACUCCAUUCAUGGUCUCCAGAGGGUUCAGUCAGGUCACUUGGUGUCUGCAACAUAACAUCACGGUGUCAAAAUAUUCAGCAUUCUUCAUUCUGACCAGUUAAGAAAUGAAUAAAUAUUAAUUAUCAUUGAACAUUGCUCACGGGAGAGUUUGGGAUGAAUAUACCACACUAUAGAAAGUUAACACUGUUCAGUUCUGUGGAACAGCAAUAUGGGGACAUUCGAACACAGGCUCUCCAGAGUUAGGUUAAGACAAAAGUCAUGUCACCUGAAACACACUCAGGUUUUUCAGGUCUAAAGAAAUAUGAGGACAUGACGACUGAAAUCAUGGAGAGUCCAUGUUUCUGAUUUAUAACUUCUCCUGUGUUUGUCAAAGAAAGCUGAAAACUCAAACCUAGUAUAUCAUGAUAAGAAGUAGUAACCUGUUGUAAGAAUGAAGUGGAUCUCUCACUCCAUUCAUGGUCUCCAGAGGGUUCAGUCAGGUCACUUGGUGUCUGCAACAUAACAUCACGGUGUCAAAAUAUUCAGCAUUCUUCAUUCUGACCAGUUAAGAAAUGAAUAAAUAUUAAUUAUCAUUGAACAUUGCUCACGGGAGAGUUUGGGAUGAAUAUACCACACUAUAGAAAGUUAACACUGUUCAGUUCUGUGGAACAGCAAUAUGGGGACAU